rnacentral:rRNA from 1 species
ACAUUCGGAAACGGGUGCUAAUACCGCAUAAUAUCUUCUUCCGCAUGGAAGAAGAUUGAAAGACGGCUCUGCUGUCACUUAUAGAUGACCUUGCGGUGCAUUAGUUAGUUGGUGGGGUAACGGCCUACCAAGACGAUGAUGCAUAGCCGACCUGAGAGGGUGAUCGGCCACAUUGGGACUGAGACACGGCCCAAACUCCUACGGGAGGCAGCAGUAGGGAAUCUUCCGCAAUGGGCGAAAGCCUGACGGAGCAAUGCCGCGUGAGUGAAGAAGGCCUUCGGGUCGUAAAACUCUGUUAUAAGAGAAGAACAAAUUGUAGAGUAACUGCUACAGUCUUGACGGUAUCUUAUCAGAAAGCCACGGCUAACUACGUGCCAGCAGCCGCGGUAAUACGUAGGUGGCAAGCGUUGUCCGGAUUUAUUGGGCGUAAAGGGAGCGCAGGUGGUUUCUUAAGUCUGAUGUGAAAGCCCACGGCUUAACCGUGGAGGGUCAUUGGAAACUGGGAAACUUGAGUACAGAAGAGGAAUGUGGAACUCCAUGUGUAGCGGUGGAAUGCGUAGAUAUAUGGAAGAACACCAGUGGCGAAGGCGACAUUCUGGUCUGUUACUGACACUGAGGCUCGAAAGCGUGGGGAGCAAACAGGAUUAGAUACCCUGGUAGUCCACGCCGUAAACGAUGAGUGCU